UAGGGAAUCUUCCGCAAUGGACGCAAGUCUGACGGAGCAACGCCGCGUGCGUGAAGAAGGAUUUCGGUUCGUAAAGCUCUGUUGUUAAGGAAGAACGAGUGUGAGAAUGGAAAGUUCAUGCUGUGACGGUACUUAACCAGAAAGGGACGGCUAACUACGUGCCAGCAGCCGCGGUAAUACGUAGGUCCCGAGCGUUGUCCGGAUUUAUUGGGCGUAAAGCGAGCGCAGGCGGUUAGAAAAGUCUGAAGUGAAAGGCAGUGGCUCAACCAUUGUAGGCUUUGGAAACUGUUUAACUUGAGUGCAGAAGGGGAGAGUGGAAUUCCAGGUGUAGCGGUGAAAUGCGUAUAUAUAUGGAGGAACACCGGUGGCGAAAGCGGCUCUCUGGUCUGUAACUGACGCUGAGGCUCGAAAGCGUGGGGAGCGAACAGG
rnacentral:rRNA from 1 species